GCCAGGGGAGCUUGGGUGGUCCAAGCACUCGACUUGUAAUCGAGAGUUCGUGGGUUCAAAUCCCACCCCUGGCUC
rnacentral:tRNA from 2 species